rnacentral:rRNA from 1 species
UACAGAGGGGGCAAGCGUUGUUCGGAAUUACUGGGCGUAAAGGGCGCGUAGGCGGCCCGCUAAGUCGAACGUGAAAUCCCUGGGCUCAACCCAGGAACUGCGUCCGAUACUGGCAGGCUUGAAUCCGGGAGAGGGAUGUGGAAUUCCAGGUGUAGCGGUGAAAUGCGUAGAUAUCAGGAAGAACACCCGUGGCGAAGGCGGCUCUCUGGGACGGUACUGACGCUGAGACGCGAAAGCGUGGGGAGCGAACAGG